UGGGGAAUAUUGCACAAUGGGCGAAAGCCUGAUGCAGCAACGCCGCGUGAGUGAUGAAGGCCUUCGGGUUGUAAAGCUCUGUCUUCUGGGACGAUAAUGACGGUACCAGAGGAGGAAGCCACGGCUAACUACGUGCCAGCAGCCGCGGUAAUACGUAGGUGGCAAGCGUUGUCCGGAUUUACUGGGCGUAAAGGAUGCGUAGGCGGAUACUUAAGUCAGAUGUGAAAAUCCCGGGCUUAACUUGGGAACUGCAUUUGAAACUGGGUAUCUAGAGUGCGGGAUGGGAAAGUGGAAUUCCUAGUGUAGCGGUGAAAUGCGUAGAGAUUAGGAAGAACACCAGUGGCGAAGGCGACUUUCUGGACCGUAACUGACGCUGAGGCAUGAAAGCGUGGGG
rnacentral:rRNA from 1 species